AUUUAAGUAGUUUAAUAAAAAAAUAUAGUAUUGUGGUUACUAAGAAAAUUUUUGGUUCUUAAAUA
rnacentral:tRNA from 1 species